GGUGGUUCAGUGGUAGAAUUCUCGCCUGC
rnacentral:piRNA from 7 species